CUCCUCGUUGUCUGCAAUGCCGCGCGACUCUCCGUCCGUCUGUAUACGGUCUCUCCGUCGCACGUCGUCUCUUCGCAAAGCUACUGCUCGACUUCUUCCGCGAAUAACAUCUGCCGUGAACCGAACUAAAGACCCCAGAUCCAACUUUCUACGCGUCGAGUUCCUUCUUCGUCCUGCCACAGGAUUGGGUCGUUAGCUGUCGUUCCUGCUUUGCCACGAGUCAUUAAAUUCUGAUUGGUUGAAGGUAACGUUCGAAUUCCUUGGGUUCGCAGCAAACAAUUGAUUCUAGUUAGAACUAGUUUCGCGAAGAUUUGGGUUCGUUCUUCGUAGACUUCAACGUGGUUAAGGAGCUUAACUAACUUGAAAGUAAAGGUAAUAAAGGUGGCAAACCGGCGAGGGGCAGGAAGGAAGCGUGAUUGCCA